rnacentral:rRNA from 1 species
UUUCUACAGGCUUAACACAUGCAAGUCGAGGGGCAUCAGGAAGAAAGCUUGCUUUCUUUGCUGGCGACCGGCGCACGGGUGAGUAACACGUAUCCAACCUGCCCUUUACUCGGGGAUAGCCUUUCGAAAGAAAGAUUAAUACCCGAUGGCAUAAUGAUUCCGCAUGGUUUCAUUAUUAAAGGAUUCCGGUAAAGGAUGGGGAUGCGUUCCAUUAGGUUGUUGGUGAGGUAACGGCUCACCAAGCCUUCGAUGGAUAGGGGUUCUGAGAGGAAGGUCCCCCACAUUGGAACUGAGACACGGUCCAAACUCCUACGGGAGGCAGCAGUGAGGAAUAUUGGUCAAUGGGCGCUAGCCUGAACCAGCCAAGUAGCGUGAAGGAUGAAGGCUCUAUGGGUCGUAAACUUCUUUUAUAUAAGAAUAAAGUGCAGUAUGUAUACUGUUUUGUAUGUAUUAUAUGAAUAAGGAUCGGCUAACUCCGUGCCAGCAGCCGCGGCAAUACGGAGGAUCCGAGCGUUAUCCGGAUUUAUUGGGUUUAAAGGGAGCGUAGGUGGACUGGUAAGUCAGUUGUGAAAGUUUGCGGCUCAACCGUAAAAUUGCAGUUGAUACUGUCAGUCUUGAGUACAGUAGAGGUGGGCGGAAUUCGUGGUGUAGCGGUGAAAUGCUUAGAUAUCACGAAGAACUCCGAUUGCGAAGGCAGCUCACUGGACUGCAACUGACACUGAUGCUCGAAAGUGUGGGUAUCAAACAGGAUUAGAUACCCUGGUAGUCCACACAGUAAACGAUGAAUACUCGCUGUUUGCGAUAUACAGUAAGCGGCCAAGCGAAAGCAUUAAGUAUUCCACCUGGGGAGUAAGCCGGCAACGGUGAAACUCAAAGGAAUUGACGGGGGCCCGCACAAGCGGAGGAACAUGUGGUUUAAUUCGAUGAUACGCGAGGAACCUUACCCGGGCUUAAAUUGCAGUGGAAUGAUGUGGAAACAUGUCAGUGAGCAAUCACCGCUGUGAAGGUGCUGCAUGGUUGUCGUCAGCUCGUGCCGUGAGGUGUCGGCUUAAGUGCCAUAACGAGCGCAACCCUUAUCUUUAGUUACUAACAGGUUAUGCUGAGGACUCUAGAGAGACUGCCGUCGUAAGAUGUGAGGAAGGUGGGGAUGACGUCAAAUCAGCACGGCCCUUACGUCCGGGGCUACACACGUGUUACAAUGGGGGGUACAGAAGGCAGCUAGCGGGUGACCGUAUGCUAAUCCCAAAAGCCUCUCUCAGUUCGGAUCGAAGUCUGCAACCCGACUUCGUGAAGCUGGAUUCGCUAGUAAUCGCGCAUCAGCCACGGCGCGGUGAAUACGUUCCCGGGCCUUGUACACACCGCCCGUCAAGCCAUGGGAGCCGGGGGUACCUGAAGUACGUAACCGCAAGGAUCGUCCUAGGGUAAAACUGGUGA